GACGAACGCUGGCGGCGUGCCUAAUACAUGCAAGUAGAACGCUGAAGGACGAGCUUGCUUCUCUGGAUGAGUUGCGAACGGGUGAGUAACGCGUAUGUAACCUGCCUGGUACCGAGGGAUAACUAUUGCAAACGAUAACUAAUACCGCAUAAAAGUACAUGUUGCAUGACAUUUGCUUAAGAGGUGAAGUUGCAUCUCUACCAGAUGGACCUGCCUUGUAUUAACUAGCUGGUGGGGUAACGGCUCACCCAGGCGACGAUACAUACCCGACCUGAUAGGGUGAUCGGCCACACUGGGACUGAGACACAGCCCACACUCCUACUGGAGGCAGCAGUAGGGAAUCUUCUGCAAUGGAGGGAAGUCUGACCAAGCAACGCCGCCUGAGUGAAGAAGGUUGUCUGAUCGUCAAGCUCUGCUGUAGGAGAAGAACAACUGUGAAAGUGGAAAGUUCACACUGUGACGAGUAUCUUACCACAAAGGGACGGCUAACUACUAUGCCAGCAGCCGCGGUAAUACAUAGGUCCCGAGCGUUGUUCCCGAUUUAUUGGGCGUAAAGCGAGCGCAGGCGGUUACAUAAUUCUGAAGUUAAAGGCUGUGGCUUAUCCAUAGUACGCUUUGGAAACUGUUUAACUUGAGUGCAAGAGAGGAGAGUGGAAUUCCAUGUGUAGCGGUGAAAUGCGUAGAUAUAUGGAGGAACACCGGUGGCGAAAGCGGCUCUCUGGUUUGUAACUGACGCUGAGGCUCGAAAGCGUGGGGAGCAAACAGGAUUAGAUACCCUGGUAGUCCACGCCGUAAACGAUGAGUGCUAGGUGUUAGACCCUUUCCGGGGUUUAGUGCCGCAGCUAACGCAUUAAGCACUCCGCCUGGGGAGUACGACCGCAAGGUUGAAACUCAAAGGAAUUGACGGGGGCCCGCACAAGCGGUGGAGCAUGUGGUUUAAUUCGAAGCAACGCGAAGAACCUUACCAGGUCUUGACAUCCCUCUGACCGCUCUAGAGAUAGAGUUUUCCUUCGGGACAGAGGUGACAGGUGGUGCAUGGUUGUCGUCAGCUCGUGUCGUGAGAUGUUGGGUUAAGCCCCGCAACGAGCGCAACCCCUAUUGUUAGUUGCCAUCAUUGAGUUGGGCACUCUAGCGAGACUGCCGGUAAUAAACCGGAGGAAGGUGGGGAUGACGUCAAAUCAUCAUGCCCCUUAUGACCUGGGCUACACACGUGCUACAAUGGAUGGUACAACGAGUCGCAAGCCGGUGACGGCAAGCUAAUCUCUUAAAGCCAGUCUCAGUUCGGAUUGUAGGCUGCAACUCGCCUACAUGAAGUCGGAAUCGCUAGUAAUCGCGGAUCAGCACGCCGCGGUGAAUACGUUCCCGGGCCU
rnacentral:rRNA from 1 species